AGUGAACGCUGGCGGUAGGCCUAACACAUGCGAGUCGAACGGCAGCACAGUAAGAGCUUGCUCUUACGGGUGGCGAGUGGCGGACGGGUGAGGAAUACAUCGGAAUCUACUUUUUCGUGGGGGAUAACGUAGGGAAACUUACGCUAAUACCGCAUACUACCUACGGUUGAAAGCAGGGGAUCUUCGGACCUUGCGCGAUUGAAUGAGCCGAUGUCGGAUUAGCUAGUUGGCGGGGUAAAGGCCCACCAAGGCGACGAUCCGUAGCUGGUCUGAGAGGAUGAUCAGCCACACUGGAACUGAGACACGGUCCAGACUCCUACGGGAGGCAGCAGUGGGGAAUAUUGGACAAUGGGCGCAAGCCUGAUCCAGCCAUACCGCGUGGGUGAAGAAGGCCUUCGGGUUGUAAAGCCCUUUUGUUGGGAAAGAAAAGCAGCAGGUUAAUACCCCGCUGUUCUGACGGUACCCAAAGAAUAAGCACCGGCUAACUUCGUG
rnacentral:rRNA from 1 species